GUGCCAGCAGCCGCGGUAAGACGUAGGUGGCAAGCGUUAUCCGGAGUUACUGGGCGUAAAGCGCGUGUAGGCGGGUGGAUAAGUGGUUCGUGAAAUAUCCAGGCUAAACCUGGGGAGGACGAAUCAGACUGUUCAUCUGGAGGCGGGUAGAGGGGUGCGGAAUUCCGGGUGUAGCGGUGAAAUGUGUAGAUAUCCGGAGGAACACCAGAGGUGCAGACGGCGCCCUGGGCCCGACCUGACGCUGAGACGCGAAAGCUUGGGGAGCGAACGGGAUUAGAUACCCUCGUAGUCC
rnacentral:rRNA from 1 species